UUCAUGAGAAUGACAACUUCGACAUGUAUGAGGAGUAAAUCCUCCAAGGUAAACAAAUUACAAAGCAUGUAACAAUAAUUAGACCAGAGAUUAUGGAAAAUUGGUUGUCCAAUUUUCUCAUAUAGGUGACCUAUCGAUAUGAAAAAACUGGACAAGCCCUUUAAGAAAAAGGUUCUGCUCGUUUGUCACAGAAAUGGAGGAUGGAGGCAGUUUGUGCGCUUUGUAGAAUCCAAAAGUCAACACCGAACUUGAGGAAUGAAAACUGGCAUUAAAAUAUUGCUGCUGUGCUCCACAAUACAAUGACCUACGGUAUGGGCAGGUUCUAUUACCAGAUGACUGCAAGCACUGAACUCCUAUUUUCUGAUUUCAUUAAGGCAGAGAUUAGCUUCACUGUGUUGUAUUAAACUAACGUCUCCCGAUUUGUGUCUCUACUGUGUACAGCUCUGCACUAGCCGGUGCGCUUCACUUUGGUGGUCACAGAGUCCUGUCUUCUACAAUCAGUUAAUAAAGUUGUAUUUAUUAUCUGCA